CAAAAAAAAAAAAAGAGAAAAUUAGGGUUUAAAUUAUUAUUUCGAGGCAAGGUUAGGGUUUUCGAUUCGGUUCUCAAGACGGGUUUGGGGUUUCCAAAAAGGGUUAAGAUUGAGUUCCGAGUGGGGUUUCAAAUUAGGAUUCAGAGGUUCAGUUUGGCAUUCAAACAAGGUUUAGAGUUCCACGAGUAGGGUUUCAAACAAGGGUUCGGUUUUUUUUAUUUGUUUUAAUCAAAGUAAUAUUUGAAGCCAGGGUUAAGGUUUCAAAUUAAGGUUCCAAGCCUCGAGCCAAAAUGAGAUUUUGAAGCCAAGGUAAGAAUUUGAACCCUGUGUUCAAUGCAGGGAUCCAGUUUUGUAUUUGAAAAAGAAAAAAAAAACCGGUCUAAAUUCCGGUUUAGGGUUUCAAACAAAGGUUAGCGUUGAAAUUUAUGAUUUGAAGCGAUUGGUAUGAUUUAAA